CCUACGGGAGGCUGCAGUGGGGAAUAUUGGACAAUGGGCGAAAGCCUGAUCCAGCCAUGCCGCGUGUGUGAAGAAGGCCUUCGGGUUGUAAAGCACUUUCAGUGGGGAAGAAAGCCUUGGGGCUAAUACCCUCGAGGAAGGACAUCACCCACAGAAGAAGCACCGGCUAACUCCGUGCCAGCAGCCGCGGUAAUACGGAGGGUGCGAGCGUUAAUCGGAAUUACUGGGCGUAAAGCGCGCGUAGGCGGUCUGAUAAGCCGGUUGUGAAAGCCCCGGGCUCAACCUGGGAACGGCAUCCGGAACUGUCAGGCUAGAGUGCAGGAGAGGAAGGUAGAAUUCCCGGUGUAGCGGUGAAAUGCGUAGAGAUCGGGAGGAAUACCAGUGGCGAAGGCGGCCUUCUGGACUGACACUGACGCUGAGGUGCGAAAGCGUGGGUAGCAAACAGGAUUAAUACCCUUGUAGUC
rnacentral:rRNA from 1 species